rnacentral:rRNA from 1 species
AUUGAACGCUGGCGGUAUGCUUAACACAUGCAAGUCGAACGGUAGCAGGCCUUCGGGCGCUGACGAGUGGCGGACGGGUGAGUAAUGUAUCGGAACGUACCUUUCAGUGGGGGAUAACGCAGCGAAAGUUGCGCUAAUACCGCAUAUUCUGUGAGCAGGAAAGCAGGGGAUCGCAAGACCUUGCGCUGAUUGAGCGGCCGAUAUCAGAUUAGCUAGUUGGUGAGGUAAAAGCUCACCAAGGCGACGAUCUGUAGCGGGUCUGAGAGGAUGAUCCGCCACACUGGAACUGAGACACGGUCCAGACUCCUACGGGAGGCAG